rnacentral:rRNA from 1 species
ACGCUGGCGGCGUGCCUAACACAUGCAAGUCGAGCGGAGACAUUGGCUUCGGUUUAAUGUUUUAGCGGCGGACGGGUGAGUAACGCGUGAGCAACCUUUCUCUCAGUGGGGAAUAACACAGGGAAACUUGUACUAAUACCGCAUGAGACCACAUUGUCGCAUGGCAAAGAGGUCAAAGAUUUAUCGCUGAGAGGUGGGCCUGCGUCUGAUUAGCUAGUUGGUGGGGUAACGGCUCACCAAGGCGACGAUCAGUAGCCGGUCUGAGAGGAUGAACGGCCACAUUGGGACUGAGACACGGCCCAGACUCCUACGGGAGGCAGCAGUGGGGAAUCUUCCGCAAUGGACGAAAGUCUGACGGAGCAAUGCCGCGUGAGUGAUGAAGGUUUUCGGACCGUAAAGCUCUUUUGUUUAUGACGAAUGUGCAUUAUGUGAAUAAUGUAGUGUAAUGACGGUAGUAAACGAAUAAGCCACGGCUAACUACGUG